AUUGAACGCUGGCGGCAGGCCUAACACAUGCAAGUCGAGCGAGCGGCGGACGGGUGAGUAAUGUAUGGGGACUGCCUGAUGGAGGGGGAUAACUACUGGAAACGGUGGCUAAUACCGCAUACUAUCGGAUAACCCAUAUGGGAUUAGCUAGUAGGUGUGGUAACGGCUGACCUAGGCGACGAUCUCUAGCUGGUCUGAGAGGAUGAUCAGGCUCACGGGGACUGAGACACGGCCCAGACUCCCAGGGAGGCAGCAGUGGGGAAUAUUGGGCAUUGGGCGCAAGCCUGAUGCACCCAUGCCGCGUGUAUGACGAAGGCCUUCGGGUUGUAAAGUACGUUCAGCGGGGAGGCGUUACCCGCAGAAGAAGCACCGGCUAACUCCGUGCCAGCAGCCGCGGUAAUAC
rnacentral:rRNA from 1 species